AUGGUCCUGCAGGCGCAGAAAAAUAAUCUAGUUGUUGGACUCGCUCCGAAUCUUGUUGAAAAUGGAGUGGCCAUAUUGCAAUAUGCAGAUGAUACGGUCUUGUGCAUAGAUCAUGAUCUGCAUAAAGCUGUGAACAUGAAGUUGUUGUUAUACAUUUUUGAGCUCAUGUCUGGGCUCAAAAUCAAUUUCCAGAAAAGUCAGAUCCUGUGUGUAGGGGGAUGA
rnacentral:rRNA from 1 species